rnacentral:rRNA from 1 species
UACGUAGGGUGCGAGCGUUACUCGGAAUUACUGGGCGUAAAGCGCACGUAGGCGGCUUUGCAAGUCAGAGGUGAAAGCCCGGGGCUCAACCCCGGAAUUGCCUUUGAGACUGCAUCGCUAGAAUUGUGGAGAGGUAAGUGGAAUUCCGAGUGUAGAGGUGAAAUUCGUAGAUAUUCGGAAGAACACCAGUGGCGAAGGCGACUUACUGGACACAUAUUGACGCUGAGGUGCGAAAGCGUGGGGAGCAAACAGG